UACGGGGGGAGCAAGCGUUGUUCGGAUUUACUGGGCGUAAAGGGCGCGUAGGCGGUCAGCACAAGUCAAUUGUGAAAUCUCCGAGCUUAACUCGGAACGGUCAACUGAUACUGCGCGGCUAGAGUGCGGAAGGGGCAACUGGAAUUCUCGGUGUAGCGGUGAAAUGCGUAGAUAUCGAGAGGAACACCUGCGGCGAAGGCGGGUUGCUGGGCCGACACUGACGCUGAUGCGCGAAAGCCAGGGGAGCGAACGGG
rnacentral:rRNA from 1 species